rnacentral:lncRNA from 1 species
GUGGGUAGAAAACACAAAACGACCAAUGGAGCAUAAUUUACAACAAAUCCUUUUAUCGAUAAAUAAAACCUUUACCAUUUACUUACAUCGGUGAAAUUCAUAAAACAAUAUACGAAAGCAAUAACAUCAUUAUCAUCAUGGAAACAUAUAUAUGAACUGUAUAACAUAAUACCUAUCACACUUUUCGUAAUUCAAUCGUUACACAACAUAUUUUCCUAAUUCACCAGCCCACUAGUAUCCAUGGGGAUCCAUAGGGGUCCCGCUACCCGUAAAUCCUUAACACUUGAAAUCAAAU